CUUACCAGGUCUUGACAUCUUCUGCUAUUUCUAGAGAUAGAAAGUUCCCUUCGGGGACGGAAUGACAGGUGGUGCAUGGUUGUCGUCAGCUCGUGUCGUGAGAUGUUGGGUUAAGUCCGCAACGAGCGCAACCCUUAUGACUAGUUGCCAGCAUUAAGUUGGGCACUCUAGUAAGACUGCCGGUGACAAACCGGAGGAAGGUGGGGACGACGUCAAAUCAUCAUGCCCCUUAUGACCUGGGCUACACACGUGCUACAAUGGUUGGUACAACGAGUUGCGAACUCGCGAGGGUAAGCUAAUCUCUUAAAGCCAAUCUCAGUUCGGACUGUAGGCUGCAACUCGCCUACACGAAGUCGGAAUCGCUAGUAAUCGCGGAUCAGCAUGCCGCGGUGAAUACGUUCCCGGGCCUUGUACACACCGCCCGUCACACCAUGAGAGUUUGUAACACCCAAAGCCGGUGGGGCAACCCUUCGGGGAGCUAGCCGUCUAAGGUGGGACAGAUGAUUAGGGUGAAGUCGUAACAAGGUAGGCGUAGACGU
rnacentral:rRNA from 1 species